rnacentral:rRNA from 1 species
GUUUGAUCCUGGCUCAGAUUGAACGCUGGCGGCAUGCUUUACACAUGCAAGUCGAACGGCAGCGGGGGCUUCGGCCUGCCGGCGAGUGGCGAACGGGUGAGUAAUGCAUCGGAACGUGCCCAUGUCGUGGGGGAUAACGUAGCGAAAGCUACGCUAAUACCGCAUACGCCCCUGAGGGGGGAAAGCGGGGGGAUUCUUCGGAACCUCGCGCGAUUGGAGCGGCCGAUGUCGGAUUAGCUAGUAGGUGAGGUAAAGGCUCACCUAGGCGACGAUCCGUAGCGGGUCUGAGAGGAUGAUCCGCCACACUGGGACUGAGACACGGCCCAGACUCCUACGGGAGGCAGCAGUGGGGAAUUUUGGACAAUGGGCGCAAGCCUGAUCCAGCCAUGCCGCGUGAGUGAAGAAGGCCUCGGGUU